AUAUCAAUAAGCGGAGGAAAAGAAACCAACAGGGAUUACCCUAGUAACGGCGAGUGAAGCGGUAACAGCUCAAAUUUGAAAUCUGACCUUUAUAGGUCCGAGUUGUAAUUUGUAGAGGAUGUUUCGGACAAGACUUUGGUUUAAGUUUCUUGGAACAGAACGUCAUAGAGGGUGAGAGUCCCGUCUAGAAUCGAUAGUCAAGUCCAUGUGAAACUCCUUCGACGAGUCGAGUUGUUUGGGAAUGCAGCUCAAAAUGGGUGGUAAAUUUCAUCUAAAGCUAAAUAUUGGCCAGAGACCGAUAGCGCACAAGUAGAGUGAUCGAAAGAUGAAAAGCACUUUGAAAAGAGAGUUAAACAGUAU
rnacentral:rRNA from 1 species